ensembl:lncRNA
UCUUUUUUUAUCCACUACCAAUUUAACUUCAUCAGUAGGCAUCAGGUCUGUCUGCUUGUUCAAUUCAAUGUUCUUUAUGAGCACUGACUGAAUAAAACUUCAGUAGACCGGUUGUGGGAUUCAGAUGAAACCUUUUUCUGCCUCUGGUUCAUCUCAUCAUCCCUGUCAUGUUUUGUUUUGUCACAUUCUCCGUCUGUCGUCUCGCUUUUUACUUCUUUUAUCACUUCAGUAGUUGUCUGCAUUUCAGAGAAGGAGAGGAGGGAAUGCAGUUCCCUGUACACAGUGGGAGUGUAGAUGUAUGACGGCUGAUUGACACAGCUUUGCAGAACCAAAAGAAAGGGGUCGUCAUUAAGGAGGGGGUCAGGUCAAAGGGCAGGGCUCUGGGGAGAAUAAGUGCUAAUAAGGGGGUAUGACACUUUAAGAUAUUUGAGUGCUACAAAAAGUGCUUUAUUUUAAAUUCUCUAUUUUCGUCUUGAUCAAUGAAAAGUGCACACACACACACAAAAAAGGUUCCUUAUUCUUACUGUUCUGCAUCCGCCUAAGCUGCCACACAGUGGCGCGUGCACGUAUGUUUAUAGUUUUACAGUUUUGUGUUUACAAAGAUAUAACCGACAGAGGUCGCUGUACAUUGCUUUAACAUUUGAGGAUGGCGCUUGAGACUACUUGAUUCUGUCUACAACAGCGAUUAUGUAACGACAUCUUUGCUUCUCAAAGGAAAUUCACAACGAACAUCAUUCGAUGCUGAAGAUGUACGCUUCAAUGCGUCAUUGCUGUUGGGAGGGGGUCGAAGAUGUUUUACGGAGGACCGAUCUAAAGUAAAAUUCCCGACAGACAGAAGACGUGGAUUGACGCUGCUCACCACUUCAGACGAAAGCACAGAGCCCAUCUGCAAUUUGCAGCGUAAAUCCAUCGCUUACCUCCUAAGUAUUUCUGCUGUUUUGGUAAGUAGUUUAUCACUCAGACGAAUCCACCGCUAAUAUUAGCGACAACCCGUAUUUUAGACACGAAUGUUGUGUGCAGAAGACAAACGGAGAACAAACAAGCUCACUAAGAUAUCAAGGAAGGACCUAAGGUUAGAGCACGAAGAAGGAAGGGGGUGGGGAUGCAGAGAUAAACUUUGUCAAAUGUUUUAAAACACAGCGAUCAAAUCUAGCUUUUGAGUAAUUUAAUAAGUUAUCCCUUUCCGAAUUGUUUUGACUGAAUGGCACGAGUUUAAGCUACUUGAACAGAGCAGACUGGCACUCGUGCAGCGCGUUACGCACUGUGGCAGGAUCACGCUCGAGGAAGGAAUGCACUACCUACAGUACUAGCGAGUAAUAACGUCACGGCGCCGAGCUAAAAACAAACAAAUUAAUACUUUAUUCGGUGACCAGCACUAUUACUCGGACUUACUACACGCGCUGUCAUCAGGUCUCUGCUAGGACGGCUCACAAAGGUGGAUCAUUUGCAACUUUUGCUGCACGUACGUCCUUAUUGACAUGAAAAACCUUUGCGUAGUGUUUUUGCGCGUCAUUGCGAGUGUGUUUGAACACGUUUUAAAGCGUUCUUUUACUCUCACAAGGCCUUUCUUUGUCUGAUUUAGCUGUUGCGAGUCCUUGGCAUAGUACUACUCCCGUGACAUUGCGAAGCGCUGCGAGUACUACUACUACAGCGGCGGCUUUCGGGCGCAUUCUGACGGUACGCUUUUUAUUAUUGUGCAUUAUUUCAGCGGCUCCCAUCAUAGUCCGAUACAUGUCGGAAUACGUCCUUAUAGAAGUAUAAAAAAGCCUUUCAACCGAGCAGCAGGUUUAUAAUCAGUUUAUUUUGUAAUUACUAUUUUAAAAGUAUCGUUCAGUACUAACGGGCCUCCUUGAAUAUAGCCGUGUUUUUCAUGUUACACACUCUUGAGAUUUUGUCAUCUUUAGAGAUGCACGUAAAUAUGAUGCACUCUGCUGUUAAAGAGUGUCUCCAUAAUGAUGGCUCAGUUUGUCUGCAUUA